rnacentral:rRNA from 1 species
AUUGAACGCUGGCGGCAGGCCUAACACAUGCAAGUCGGAGGGUAGCACAGAGAGCUUGCUCUCGGGUGACGAGUGGCGGACGGGUGAGUAAUGUCUGGGGAUCUGCCCGAUAGAGGGGGAUAACCACUGGAAACGGUGGCUAAUACCGCAUAACGUCGCAAGACCAAAGAGGGGGACCUUCGGGCCUCUCACUAUCGGAUGAACCCAGAUGGGAUUAGCUAGUAGGCGGGGUAACGGCCCACCUAGGCGACGAUCCCUAGCUGGUCUGAGAGGAUGACCAGCCACACUGGAACUGAGACACGGUCGAGACUCCUACGGGAGGCAGCAGUGGGGAAUAUUGCACAAUGGGCGCAAGCCUGAUGCAGCCAUGCCACGUGUAUGAAGAAGGCCUGCGGGUUGUAAAGUACUUUCAGCGGGGAGGAAGGCGAUGUGGUUAAUAACCGCGUCGAUUGACGUUACCCGCAGAAGAAGCACCGGCUAACUCCGUGCCAGCCGCCGCCGUAA